rnacentral:rRNA from 1 species
GAUGAACGCUGGCGGCGUGCUUAACACAUGCAAGUCGAACGAAGCAAUUCUUGGAAGCCUUCGGGUGGAAGAGCGAUUGACUGAGUGGCGGACGGGUGAGUAACGCGUGGGUAACCUGCCUCAUACAGGGGGAUAACAGCCGGAAACGGCUGCUAAUACCGCAUAAGCACACAGCAUCGCAUGAUGAUGUGUGAAAAACUCCGGUGGUAUGAGAUGGACCCGCGUCUGAUUAGCUAGUUGGUAAGGUAACGGCUUACCAAGGCGACGAUCAGUAGCCGGCCUGAGAGGGUGAUCGGCCACAUUGGGACUGAGACACGGCCCAAACUCCUACGGGAGGCAGCAGUGGGGAAUAUUGCACAAUGGGGGAAACCCUGAUGCAGCGACGCCGCGUGAGUGAAGAAGUAUUUCGGUAUGUAAAGCUCUAUCAGCAGGGAAGAAAAUGACGGUACCUGACUAAGAAGCCCCGGCUAACUACGUGCCAGCCGCCGC